rnacentral:piRNA from 1 species
UGAACAUUGCAAUAAUAUGGUU